UACGGAGGGGGCUAGUGUUGUUCGGAAUUACUGGGCGUAAAGGGCGCGCAGGCGGCUUGGCAAGUCGAGUGUGAAAUCCCUUAGCUUAACUAAGGAACAGCGCUCGAAACUACCUCGCUGGAGGGCGGGAGAGGGAAGUGGAACUCUCGGUGUAGGGGUGAAAUCUGUAGAUAUCGAGAGGAACACCGGUGGCGAAGGCGGCUUCCUGGCCCGUACCUGACGCUGAGGCGCGAAAGCGUGGGGAGCAAACAGG
rnacentral:rRNA from 1 species